ACAUCUUACUUUCAACUUCUGGAGUGUAGAAGGAUCUUUCUUUCCUUACUUAUGUGGACUUUGUCUAUUUGAAAACGCCCUUUCUCCUAAAAGCAAACCAUUCAUUUCAACAUGUUGGAUGUCAGAUUUCUCUGAGAACAUCAUUAUUAAAUAGUUGUUUCUUAUAAACGUUUUCAAACUUUUUAAGACCAAAAUGUUAUAUGAGUAUAGUCAGUGUAUUGUGAUUCUGCCAACACUUUGUCUCUGUGACCCAUAUUUUCCGUAGGUUAAAGCAUAAGCUAUUAGCUGGAUACUCUGUCCCAUUGGAAGGAUGACUAAUAUCUCAAAUAUAAAUGAAAACAGCUGCUUUUCCAUAACAUUAGAGUCCCAAACAGCUGUCACAUGUACAUUUUGACAUUCUUACUUCUUUCUAAAUUGGGACAAAAAUUAGUUUACUGGAUUUGCUGAUCUGGUUAAGUACAUCAUCUAACUUCUGUGGAGAGGUACAGAAGAGGUCAUAGGAAAGUCCAUGGAGCCAGCAUGCAGACAUCCCCAAAGGCUUGAACUUACUUAAAAUGUAAACCCUGUGAUGAGACCCUUCUGUGCCAAGAACAUAAGGUCUGUAAGGGCCUGGCAGUGGCUGCUGCACCACUGCCACCUUUGCCAGCAAGCCUGAAUCUCGGCAGCCAGCCAUUGUUCUCUGUUCCACUGAAGAGAUUGUGGAGUACCACCCCAUUGUCUCCUGAACGCCUACGUCAGUGCAUUCUCCUCUUCUGAGAGCCUUGGAGGAUUUAUUUCAGGAGGUGGCUGUUGCGGAUCAGAAGAUCAUGCUUCCUCUAUUGGCUUAAAACUGGUCAUUCUCUGUCUUUGAGUUCCUUGCUUUAGUCUCCUCUUCAAUAAAAUAAGGUCCCAACCAGAUCAUAGUCUUCUGGUUGAUAGCCUUAACUGUGGAGCUUAGUUAAGACCUGGGUUCUAGAAGACCUACCUGGUUCCACCCCUGCUCCUGUUACUUUUCCUUUUUUUUUUUUUGUUUGUUUUUGUUUUUGUUUUUUUGUUUUGUUUGAGAUGGAGUUUUGCUCUUGUUGCCCAGGCUGGAGUGCAAUGGCGCAAUCUCAGCUCACCACAACCUCCGCCUCCCAGGUUCAAGUGAUUCUCCUGCCUCAGCCUCCCAAGUAGCUGGGAUUACAGGCAUGCGCCACCGCACCCGGCUAAUUUUGUAUUUUUAGUAGAGAAGGAAUUUCUUCAUGUUGGUCAGGCUGGUCUUGAACCCCCGACCUCAGGUGAUCUGCCCACCUCAGCCUCCCAAAGUGCUGUGAUUACAGGCGUGAGCCACCGCGCCCGGCCUCCUGUUACUUUUUCUAGCUCUCUGAUAAGUUUCUUAACCUGUUUGAACUUCGUUUUCCUCAUUUAUGAAUGAAAAUAAUAAUAAUGUCUUCUUCAUAGCAUUAUUGUGAGAAUUAAGCAGCGAUCCUUGCAAAGCACCAAGGACCCAGUGCUUGUGACUAAAUUCACUAAUUUCACUGGCUGUCAAGGCUGUGUUAAGGAAAAUGGGUUUGAACUGCUGUGGGUUUUGAGUACUGGACUGGAUGUCAGAAACCUUUGCCAUCACGGGAAAUUCUGUCACUCUGGAUUUACUGUCUGUUCCCCACAGCUAAAUUCCUCUGCAGUGUGAUUUAGCACCCUGGAUCCCCAUCAACCAGUUUUGGCAUUUAUUUGAAUGCAUUACCCCACUGGUUUCCAUAAACUAUUUUACAAUUGUUUAAAAUAAAUGACUGUUUAUUUCCACAAAACCAUCUGUAUUUCUUUACAGAGCAACAGAUAACUGUAUGUAAAAUUUGGUAU
rnacentral:lncRNA from 1 species